rnacentral:tRNA from 1 species
AGCGAUGUGGCGUAGUGGCAACGCAGCUCCCUUACAUGGAGAAGAUCAUUGGUUCGAUCCCAAUCAUCGCUACGA